GGAUUGCCCCAGUAACGGCGAGUGAAGCGGCAAGAGCUCAAAUUUGAAAUCUGGCCUCCCCCCCGGGGGGUCCGAGUUGUAAUUUGGAGAGGCAGCUUCGGGUCUGGCCCCUGUCUAAGUGCCCAGGAAUGGGUCAUCGGAGAGGGUGAGAAUCCCGUCUGGGAUGGGUGGCCGGGCCCAGGUGAAGCUCCUUCGACGAGUCGAGUUGUUUGGGAAUGCAGCUCCAAGUGGGUGGUAAAUUUCAUCUAAAGCUAAAUACCGGCCGGAGACCGAUAGCGCACAAGUAGAGUGAUCGAAAGAUGAAAAGCACUUUGAAAAGAGAGUUAAAGAGCAUGUGAAAUUGUUGAAAGGGAAGCGCUUGCGACCAGACUCAUGCGGGGAGGUUCCCCCGGCACGUGUGUCGGCACAUGCCCCCCCGUGUGGGCCAGCGUCGGUUCGGUGGGGUCGCUGAAAGGUUCCCGGAAGGUAGCGCCCUCCGGGGCGUCUUAUAGCCGGGGAUGCCAUGCGACCCUCGGGACCGAGGAACGCGCUGCGGCUCGGACGCUGGCGUAAUGGUCGUAAGCGGCCCGUCUUGAAACACGGACCAAGGAGUCUAACAUCUACGCGAGUGUUUGGGUGUCAAACCCGGGCGCGCAGUGAAAGCGAACGGAGGUGGGAACCCCUGUUGGGGGGUGCACCAUCGACCGAUCCGGAUGUCUUCGGAUGGAUUUGAGUAGGAGCGUAGCUGUUGGGACCCGAAAGAUGGUGAACUAUGCCUGAAUAGGGUGAAGCCAGAGGAAACUCUGGUGGAGGCUCGCAGCGGUUCUGACGUGCAAAUCGAUCGUC
rnacentral:rRNA from 1 species